GAAGUGGGUAGUUUAACCUUUCGAGGAGGACGCUCACCACUUUGUGGUUCAUGACUGGGGUGAAGUCGUAACAAGGUAGCCCUAGGGGAACCUGGGGCUGGAUCACCUCCUUAUACGAUGAU
rnacentral:rRNA from 1 species